AUUUUGCGAAACUAGAGAAUAUGGUUUGAUUGAAGCAGAGAGAAAAAAUGAUAAUCUAAUAUAAAAAUUGCAGGUUUGAAUCCAUUUAGGUGCAGGAGAUUAUGCGACUAAAGAAGAAAUCAUAAGCAACUGAAGUUAGCGAGCAUGUACAAAAGCGCAGGGAAAGAGUUGAAAUGGCAUUUCAGUUAAGCAGUGUACAAGUGAACAAGCGAUUCUGCUGGCCGUACUGCGAAGGCUGGAUACCACGAUUUAAACAAUUUACACAGUGUUUGCAAACGUCAUGAAACUAGCCAACAACACCUAACAGCGUGUAUAGAGUUACGAACAGCUGGACAAGCUCACAUUGACCUGCAGUUAAACGAGAGACUUGCAAUCAGACAGCACAAUGAAAAGCCCAUCAGAAUCGUGACCGGAUUUCUACAGUUUAGUCACUGAAGUGUUUCUGAAAAAAGACAGAGGAAUGGAAUUUGGCCUUCCAUAGCAAAUUAUGUCAAAGGAGGAGAAAGAGACGGGAGAAGGGUCCGCCAUUAUUGGAAGCCGAAUAAUCCCUGAACCAAAGCGCAGGGAUACGCGUACUGAGAGAGGGCCAACAGAACACUAGACUAAAACUAAACAAACAAACAAACAUAAAACACGGUGUUUUAUUUUUUCUCACAUUGCAUUUUUUUAAACAAAAAAAACAAACAAAAAAAGUAUUCGCCAGAAACAGCGUGGUGUGCCCGGUGACGAGACAUAAAACAAGUAUUUUACGCCCCCUUGUUUUCCAUUAUUUAUCCCGUGGAUGAGAUCUCAAAGGUGCAUACGGAUUCUUAACACCAAGAAAGAAGACCAAAAAAAGAAAAAAAAGAAAAGGACAAUGAAAUACAUAAACGUACCAAAUUGGAAAAAAAAAUAAAUUGAGAUCUUGUGAAGUUUGGGACGAAGCAAAAUAAGAAA